rnacentral:rRNA from 1 species
UAAGGAAUAUUGGACAAUGGGCGAAAGCCUGAUCCAGCCAUGCCGCGUGAAGGAUUAAGGUCCUCUGGAUUGUAAACUUCUUUUAUUUGGGACGAAAAAAGGGAAUUCUUUCCCACUUGACGGUACCAAGUGAAUAAGCACCGGCUAACUCCGUGCCAGCAGCCGCGGUAAUACGGAGGGUGCAAGCGUUAUCCGGAUUCACUGGGUUUAAAGGGUGCGUAGGCGGGUAUGUAAGUCAGUGGUGAAAUCUCGGAGCUUAACUCCGAAACUGCCAUUGAUACUAUAUAUCUUGAAUAUUGUGGAGGUUUGCGGAAUAUGUCAUGUAGCGGUGAAAUGCUUAGAUAUGACAUAGAACACCUAUUGCGAAGGCAGCAGGCUACACAUAUAUUGACGCUGAGGCACGAAAGCGUGGGGAUCAAACA